CACGUAGGGUGCGAGCGUUGUCCGGAAUUAUUGGGCGUAAAGAGCUCGUAGGCGGUGUGUCGCGUCGGCCGUGAAAACCUGCAGCUUAACUGUGGGCUUGCGGUCGAUACGGGCAUCACUGGAGUUCGGCGGGGGAGACUGGAAUUCCUGGUGUAGCGGUGAAAUGCGCAGAUAUCAGGAGGAACACCGGUGGCGAAGGCGGGUCUCUGGGCCGAUACUGACGCUGAGGAGCGAAAGCGUGGGGAGCAAACAGG
rnacentral:rRNA from 1 species